GAUGAACGCUGGCGGCGUGCCUAAUACAUGCAAGUCGAGCGAACAGACGAGGAGCUUGCUCCUCUGACGUUAGCGGCGGACGGGUGAGUAACACGUGGAUAACCUACCUAUAAGACUGGGAUAACUUCGGGAAACCGCAGCUAAUACCGGAUAAUAUAUUGAACCGCAUGGUUCAAUAGUGAAAGACGGUUUUGCUGUCACUUAUAGAUGGAUCCGCGUCGCAUUAGCUAGUUGGUAAGGUAACGGCUUACCAAGGCAACGAUGCGUAGCCGACCUGAGAGGGUGAUCGGCCACACUGGAACUGAGACACGGUCCAGACUCCUACGGGAGGCAGCAGUAGGGAAUCUUCCGCAAAGGGCGAAAGCCUGACGGAGCAACGCCGCGUGAGUGAUGAAGGUCUUCGGAUCGUAAAACUCUGUUAUUAGGGAAGAACAAAUGUGUAAGUAACUAUGCACGUCUUGACGGUACCUAAUCAGAAAGCCACGGCUAACUACGUG
rnacentral:rRNA from 1 species